rnacentral:lncRNA from 1 species
GAAAUAUCUCAUCCACUCUCGCUUCAUUUUUUCGGAUGGGAGAGAGUAGAAGAAAUGGAUAAUGGACAGAUCUUCCUCUUUCCCUCAUUCCCUAUUCGGAUAUGUAGGAGGAAGAGGAGGACAAGAGACGUGCUUGAAGGGCGAAAUGCAAGUGCCGUUUUAUAGCGGGAUGGAGUCUUGUUAAGACUCCUUGCAAACUCCGGCGAACCAUGCGAAAUAAGAAAAAGCAAACAUUAGAAAAAGGAUAUUUAACUUAAACGAACAUAAAAGAAAGAAAGAAAAAAAAAGAACAGAUUACUAUAAAAAAUAUACAUAGGGUCAUGCUAGAUCAAAGUUCAUGCCUCAUUUUUCACAUAGACACAUAGACAUACAGAAAUAUAAUUCAUGCUUCAAGCUGUUUGGAUAAAAUGAUAUUGUUUGGGAAUAAAGUCUUUUAUCUUUUCAUUUAAACUUCUAAAUAAGUAACAACUUUACACCAAACCGAGCAUAAAACACAAUAUCGAACAAAAUACUUCGGCAGUGCACAUUUAAAUAAAACAGUAUUAGAGGAGAAGCAAGAAUGCAAAGUUCUCAAAUGAAUCGACAGAACAUUCAAUAAAACAAACUAUACAAUGUUCUUAAACAAACUGUUCUUACUGUAAAAUUUUAGACACUUUUCCUUAACAUAAGUACUCAAGAUGACUUUCCAAAUCAUAGCUACACAUGUAUAUAAUUAAAAAAUGAUAAGUCAUAGAUUUUUCUAAACCAUGAUUUCUAUUUAAACGAAACAUAUCACAUUAGCAGCAUGAGCAAAGAUAUAUAACACAUUUGAGUUUAAAGAGGACAGGAAAUAAGAAUUAUAGAUUGUUUACAACCCAGAGCUCACAACAUAAGAGGAAGCUAACAACAUGAACAAAACGAAGGUCCUAAAAACAUGGUUUCUAAUGAUAAAAAUAAAUAAAUUUUGGGUCAGUUUUUCACCUGUUUCGGAGCAGCAAACUAGAGUCCUUGAUCAAAGAUCUACACUGGAACUCGAACUAAUUCACACUCGUCCACGCGCAAGACUCCGAAGACAACGAAACAAUAAGAAGCUGGAUAUUUUCGAGAGUAACAGAGAUGUUUUGCAGCAGUUUGGUUAUAUAAUAUUUGACUAAAAAUUAUCUCCCCAAAAAACCCCCCCCAAAACGGAUGCCUAAGGCUCGCAUUUAUAGAGUAAAAACUACGGUUCCGAGGGUUCUUUAGGCGGGAAGAUUUAUUUCAAAAUCGAGUCACAAAACUCCUUCGAACUUCGAGCAUCAUACCAUGGCAGAAAACUUUUCAGAAGCGAUUUAUUUCUUAUGACCAAAAUAGUGAGUCUUGACUGAAGCGUAAGGAUCUGAUGUAUUUUUGAACAUAGAAGUAGACGAUCUUCUGCCACACGCCAUGGGAAGAAGGAAACUUGCUGGAAAAUGGUCAAGCCAAAUCUGAAAUUUCGAGGAGUGGAGCUCAAGCUUUGUCAAAAAUGGAGAUGAAGCCAAAAGAGAGUUCCCUUUCUAAAGAAAGAGAGGGAGGCGUCUGAUGACACCAAAGGAAAAACAAUAGAUUGUUUUUUGGGAAAUCCAAGGGUAUUUAGGUCACUUUAGGUGGAUUAAAGGAGGGUAGAAUAGGUAGUUUAGGAUAUUUGGGAUUCUAGGGCUUUAAUUUUGAAUUGGCUGAC